rnacentral:rRNA from 1 species
ACGGAGGAUCCGAGCGUUAUCCGGAUUUAUUGGGUUUAAAGGGUGCGUAGGCGGUUUGAUAAGUUAGAGGUGAAAGCUCGAUGCUCAACAUCGAAAUUGCCUCUGAUACUGUCAGACUAGAGUGUAGUUGCGGAAGGCGGAAUGUGUGGUGUAGCGGUGAAAUGCUUAGAUAUCACACAGAACACCGAUUGCGAAGGCAGCUUUCCAAGCUAUUACUGACGCUGAGGCACGAAAGCGUGGGUAGCGAACAG